rnacentral:lncRNA from 1 species
AUAUCAUAGCUGCAGAAUAUUCGGACCCUCUAGUCCCAGCCGCCCAGUGAACUUGAGCUGUGUGACCUUGAGCAAAAGGCAAAAUGUUUCUGAUUUUCAGUCCCCUCAUCUGGAAAAGGAGGAGGCUGUGGGACAUGAUGAUCUUUGAAAGUCUAAUAAUGAAACAAACAGAAAACCUGUGCUUCUAAGUUGGUGAGUCUGGAAAGGCUUGGUGUACAGUUGAUGUCUAGAAUAUAUUAACAGAAGGCUGCCCUGUAGAAGUUUUGAGUUAAUGGUUUCCAUCAACGCAGGAGUGGAAGAAGCUACUGGGGAUCAGGAAUCAGAAGUCCUGGCUUUAAGCCCUAGCUUUAGCCCUCACUGGUAAUAAAAUCAAAGCAAUUGGUCUCUUUGA